rnacentral:rRNA from 1 species
CGCUGGCGGCACGCUCUAAACAUGCCAGUCGAACGAAGUAGCAAUACUUAGUGGCAGACGGGUGAGUAACAUGUAGGUAUCUACCCUAUGGCCUGGAAUAACACGAGGAAACUUGUGCUAAUACCGGAUAAGUCUUUACGGAGAAAGCUUUAUGCACCAUUGGAUGAGCCUGCACUUGAUUAGUUUGUUGGUGGGGUAAUGGCCUACCAAGACUAUGAUCAAUAGCUGAUUUGAGAGGAUGAUCAGCCACAUUGGGACUGAGACACGG